GGGGGUAUAGCUCAGUGGUAGAGCAUUCGGCAGGAUAUCGAGAGUUCGCCGGUUCAAACCCGGAUGCUCCCU
rnacentral:tRNA from 1 species